UCUGCCCUGGGAUGUUUGCCAACCGACAAAGUCCUUGAGCCGAUAAAUGUGUAACCGGCAGUACCUCGUUGUGUUCGGUGUGCAUGUCCGCCUGACGGAAAGCCUAAAGAACCACAGGUAUCGCCACCUUGAGCCGUUGGGUUCAAGGCCCGCUUGGUAGCGGCAUUUCCGGGGCAUCU
rnacentral:other from 1 species